rnacentral:rRNA from 1 species
AUUGAACGCUGGCGGCAGGCCUAACACAUGCAAGUCGAACGAGUGGCGGACGGGUGAGUAAUGUCUGGGAAACUGCCUGAUGGAGGGGGAUAACUACUGGAAACGGUAGCUAAUACCGCAUACCAUCGGAUGUGCCCAGAUGGGAUUAGCUUGUAGGUGGGGUAACGGCGCACCUAGGCGACGAUCCCUAGCUGGUCUGAGAGGAUGACCGGCCACACGGGAAGUGGGACACGGUCCAGACUCCUACGGGAGGCAGCAGUGGGGAAUAUUGGACAAGGGGCGCAAGCCUGAUGCAGCCAUGCCGCGUGUAUGAAGAAGGCCUUCGGGUUGUAAAGUACUUUCAGCGGGGAGGCGUUACCCGCAGAAGAAGCACCGGCUAACUCCGUGCCAGCCGCCGCGGUAAUUC